rnacentral:lncRNA from 1 species
AUCAGAAAGCCAACACCUCAUCAGAAGGCUGGCAGCUGAGAUUAUUAGAUGACCGACUUGUCUCUCCAGUUACAUCGGUUUAUGACUGACCUGCCUCUCCAGCAUUAUCUGCUAAUCACUAUCUAGAACUGCUAGUAAGCGGAAUGCUCACCUCGAUCUCCUUCAUCUCACCUCGAUUUGUAGCCGAUCUAAAUCGAUGAUGAUUAUUCGAUAUGAGCAUUAACUACAUACGAACAUAGAGUGCAAUAGUCAUCCACAAAUGGCCC